UGUGUGAUGCAUACGACGGUGUCUGC
rnacentral:piRNA from 1 species